UCGUACUAGCUGGGGAGUUAGCGGUGCCCUAUAACCUGCAAUCCGCUAUAGCAGGAGUGAAUUCCUUGUUUAGGCUAUAGUUUGUUUGGUCUGGCUUAUAUAAGUGGCGUUGAGAACUGGGUCCCACGCAACAGAGAUUCGUGAACCUCGUCAGGUCUGGAAGGAAGCAGCGAUAAGCGAACCCCUCUGUGUGCCGUGGAUCAAUCUGGUUUGAGUUAACUGUAUGAGUAACGCUUAUAAAC
rnacentral:SRP_RNA from 1 species